AAGAAAAUAGUUAAAACCUUAUAACAAUAUCUUGUCAAGAUAUAAUUACUUUAAGUUUUUCUUA
rnacentral:tRNA from 1 species